GGGCCGGUAGUUCAGCUGGGAGAACGCCACAAUGGCAUUGUGGAGGUCGCGAGUUCGAUCCUCGCCCGGUCCA
rnacentral:tRNA from 1 species